GACGAACGCUGGCGGCGUGCUUAACACAUGCAAGUGGAGCGACGAACCAGGGCUUGCCCUGGGGCAGAGCCGCGAACGGGUGAGUAACACGUGGGUAACCUACCCCAAUGACCGGGACAACCCGAGGAAACUCGGGCUAAUACCGGAUGUUCUGCACUCUCGUAAGGGAGUUCAGCAAAGAUAGCCUCGGCUUUCGCAUUGGGACGGGCCCGCGGCCCAUUAGCUUGUUGGUGAGGUAACGGCUCACCAAGGCUUCGAUGGGUAGCUGGUCUGAGAGGACGAUCAGCCACACUGGGACUGAGACACGGCCCAGACUCCUACGGGAGGCAGCAGUGGGGAAUCUUGCGCAAUGGGCGAAAGCCUGACGCAGCAACGCCGCGUGGGGGAAGAAGGCCUUCGGGUUGUAAAGCUCUUUCAGCUGGGAAGAUAAUGACGGUACCAGCAGAAGAAGCCCCGGCUAACUCCGUGCCAGCAGCCGCGGUAAAAC
rnacentral:rRNA from 1 species